CCAAAAUAGAGCCCCCAUAGGGGGGGGGGGGACAGGUGGGGGGGGGGGCGGAGCCUCAGCCCCACAGCUGCUGCCCCCCCCCGUGGGGAGACGUUGGGGGGGGGGGCGGGGGGGAUAAAAGGGUCCGAACGGCCCCAAAACGGCCCCAAAAUGGCCCUAAAUGGGGGGAAAUGGACCCAAAUGGCCCUAAAUGGGGGGAAAUGGACCCAAAAUGGGGGAAAUGGGGGUGAAUUGACCCCAAAAUGGCCCUAAAUGGGGGGAAAUGGGCCCCAAAUGGCCCUAAAUGGGGGAAAAUGGACCUAAAUUGUGGGGAAAUGGGCCCCAAAUGGCCCUAAAUGGGGGGAAAUGGGACCAAAAUGGUCCUAAAUGGGGUGAAUGGACCCCAAAUGGGAGGAAUUGACCCCAAAAUGGUCCUAAAUGGGGGGAAAAGGACCCCAAAUGGCCCCAAAUUGAGGUGAAUGGAGCCCAAAAUGGCCCUAAAUGGGGGGAAAUGGGCCCAAAAUGGCCCUAAAUGGGGGAAAUGUACCCAAAAUGGGGGAAAUGGGGGUGAAUGGACCCAAAAUGGCCCUAAAUGGGGGAAAUGGGCCCAAAAUGGCCCUAAAUGGGGGAAAUGGACCCAAAAUGGCCCCAAAUUGGGGUGAAUGGACCCAAAAUGGGGGAAAUGGACCCCAAAUGGCCCUAAAUGGGGGGAAAUGAACCCAAAUCGGGGUGAAUUGACCCCAAAAUGGCCCUAAAUGGGGGGAAAUGGACCCCAAAAUGGCCCUAAAUGGGGGGAAAUGGACCCCAAAUGGGAGGAAUUGACCCCAAAAUGGGGAGAAAUGGGCCCAAAAUGGCCCUAAAUGGGGGAAAAUGGCCCUAAAUGGGGGGAAAUGGGCCCCAAAUGGCCCUAAAUGGGGGGGAAUUGACCCCAAAAUGGCCCUAAAUGGGGGAAAUGGACCCAAAAUGGGGGGAAUUGACCCCAAAAUGGGGAGAAAUGGGCCCAAAAUGGCCCUAAAUGGGGGAAAUGGGCCCAAAAUGGCCCUAAAUGGGGGGAAAUGGACCCCAAAUGGACCCAAAAUGGUGGGAAUGGACCCAAAUUGGGGGGAAUUGACCCCAAAAUGGGGAGAAAUGGGCCCAAAAUGGCCCUAAAUGGGGGGAAAUGGACCCCAAAUGACCCUAAAUGGGGGGAAAUGGACCCAAAUGGCCCUAAAUGGGGGGAAAUGCACCCAAAUGGGAGGAAUUGACCCCAAAAUGGGGGGAAAUGGGCCCAAAAUGGCCAUAAAUGGGGGAAAUGGACCCCAAAUGGCCCUAAAUGGGGGGAAAUGGACCCCGAAUGACCCUAAAUGGGGAGAAAUGGGCCCCAAAUGGCUCUAAAUGGGGGGAAAUGGGACCAAAAUGGCCCUAAAUGGGGGGAAAUGGUCCCAAAAGGGGGAAAACGGGCACAAAAUGGCCCUAAAUGGGGGAAAAUGGACCCCAAAUGGCCCUAAAUUGGGGGAAAUGGACCCAAAAUGGACCCAAAAUGGGGGGAAAUGGACCCAAAUGGGAGGAAAUGACCCCAAAAUGGGGAGAAAUGGGACCAAAAUGGCCAUAAAUGGGGGAAAACGGACCCAAAAUGGCCCUAAAUGGGGGGAAAUGGACCCAAAUUGGGGGGAAUUGACCCCAAAAUGGCCCUAAAUGGGGGGAAAUAGACCCAAAAUGGCCCCAAAUGGGGAAAGUGACCCCAAAAUGGCCCCAAAUUGGGGGAAAUGGACCCAAAAGGGGGAAAUUGGGGUGAAUGGACCCCAAAAUGGCCCUAAAUGGGGGGAAAUGGACCCAAAAGGGGGAAAUGGGGGUGAAUUGACCCCAAAAUGGCUAUAAAUGGGGGGAAAAGGACCCCAAAUGGCCCAAAAUGGGGGAAAUGGACCCCAAAAUGUCCCUAAAUGGGGGGAAAUGGGCCCCAAAUGGCCCUAAAUGGGGGAAAUGGGCCCAAAAUGGCCCUAAAUGGGGGGAAAUGGGACCAAAAUGACCCUAAAUGGGGGGAAAUGGACCCCAAAAUUGGGGGAAAUGGGACCCAAAUGGCCCUAAAUGGGGGGAUAUGGGGUGAAUUGACCCCAAAAUUGCCCUAAAUGGGGGGAAAUGGGCCCAAAAUGGCCCUAAAUCGGGGGAAAUGAACCCAAAUUGGGGGGAAUUGACCCUAAAUGGCCCCAAAUUGGGGUGAAUGGAGCCCAAAAUGGCCCUAAAUGGGGGGAAAUGGACCCCAAAUGGGAGGAAUUGACCCAAAAUUGGGGGAAAUGGACCCAAAAUGGCCCUAAAUGGGGGGAAAUGGCCCCCAAAAUUGGGGGAAAUGGGACCCAAAUGGCCCUAAAUUGGGGGAUAUGGGGUGAAUUGACCCCAAAAUGGCCCUAAAUGGGGGGAAAUGGACCCAAAAUGGCCCCAAAUUGGGAAAUGACCCCAAAAUGCACCAAAACCGCCCCAAAUUGACCCAGAAUUGGCCCCAAAUCCACCCCCAGAAAACCCCAAAUGCCCCAAAAUCAGCCCUAAAACCCCAAAUUGCCCCCAAAUGCCCCAAAAUCGACCCUAAAAACCCCAAAUUGCCCCCAAAUGGCCCCAAAAUUGGCCCUAAAAACCCCACAUUGCCCCCAAAUGCCCCAAAAUCGGCCCUAAAAACCCCAAAUUGCCCCCAAAUGCCCCAAAAUCGACCCUAAAAAACCCGAAUUGACCCAAAUUGACCCCAAAAUCAGUCCUAAAAACCCCCAAAUUGCCCUCAAAUGCCCCAAAAUCGGCCCUAAAAACCCCAAAUUGCCCCCAAAUGCCCCAAAAUCGGCCCUAAAAACCCCAAAUUGCCCCCAAAUGGCCCCAAAAUCGGCCCUAAAAACCCCAAAUUGCCCCCAAAUGCCCCAAAAUCGGCCCUAAAAACCCCAAAUUGCCCCCAAAUGCCCCAAAAUCGACCCUAAAAAACCCAAAUUGACCCAAAUUGACCCCAAAAUCAGUCCUAAAAACCCCCAAAUUGCCCUCAAAUGCCCCAAAAUCGGCCCUAAAAACCCCAAAUUGCCCCCAAAUGCCCCAAAAUCGGCCCUAAAAACCCCAAAUUGCCCCCAAAUGGCCCCAAAAUUGGCCCUAAAAACCCCACAUUGCCCCCAAAUGCCCCAAAAUCGGCCCUAAAAACCCCAAAUUGCCCCCAAAUGCCCCAAAAUCGACCCUAAAAAACCCAAAUUGACCCAAAUUGACCCCAAAAUCAGUCCUAAAAACCCCCAAAUUGCCCUCAAAUGCCCCAAAAUCGGCCCUAAAAACCCCAAAUUGCCCCCAAAUGCCCCAAAAUCGGCCCUAAAAUCCCCAAAUUGCCCCCAAAUGCCCCAAAAUCGGCCCUAAAAACCCCAAAUUGCCCCCAAAUGCCCCAAAAUCAGCCCUAAAAACACCAAAUUGACCCAAAAUGACCCCAAAACAGCCCUAAAAACCCCAAAUUGCCCUCAAAUGCCCCAAAAUCAGCCCUAAAAACCCAAAAUUGACCCAAAAUGCCCCAAAAUCAGCCCUAAAAACCCCAAAUUGCCCUCAAAUGCCCCAAAAUCAGCCCUAAAAACCCAAAAUUGACCCAAAAUGCCCCAAAAUCAGCCCUAAAAACCCCAAAUUGCCCUAAAUUGACCCCAAAUUGACCCAAACUGACCCAAAUUGCCUCAAAAUCGGCCCUAAAAACCCCAAAUUGCCCCCAAAUGACCCCAAAAUCAGCCCUAGAAACACCAAAUUGCCCCAAAUUGACCCCAAAUGCCCCAAAUCAGCCCUAAAAACACCAAAUUGACACAAAAUGACCCCAAAAUCGGCCCUAAAAAUCCCCAAAUGCCCCCAAAUACCCCCAAAACGGCCCUAAAAACACCAAAUUGCCCCCAAAUGCCCCAAAAUCGGCCCUAAUAACCCCAAAUUGCCCCCAAAUGCCCCAAAAUCAACCCUAAAAAACCCCAAAUUGCCCUCAAAUGCCCCCAAAUCGGCCCUAAAAACCCCAAAUUGCCCCCAAAUGCCCCAAAAUCGGCCCUAAAAACCCCAAAUUGCCCCCAAAUGCCCCAAAAUCAGCCCUAAAUAAUCCCCAAAUUUGCCCCCAAAUAAUCCCCAAAUGGCCCAAAAUGGCCCCAAAUAACCCCAAAAUUGCCCGAAAUGGCCCCAAAUAUCUUCAAAAUCACCCCAAAUAACCCCAAAAUUGCCCCCAAAUAACCCCAAAAUUGCCCCAAAUGGUCCCAAAUAACCCCAAAACCGCCCUGAAAUAACCCCAAAAUUGCCCCAAAUUUGCCCCAAAAUGACCCCAAAAUUGCCCAAAAAUGGCCCCAAAUAACCCCAAAACCGCCCGCAAAUAACCCCAAAAUUGCCCCAAAUGACCCCAAAUUGCCCCAAAUUUGUCCCCAAAUAACCCCAAAAUUGCCCAAAAUGGUCCCAAAUAGCCCAAAACCGCCCUGAAAUACCCCCAAAUUGCCCCAAAUAACCCCAAAACCGCCCCCAAAUAACCCCAAAUUUGCCCCCAAAUAACCCCAAAAUCAGCCCUAAAUAAUCCCCAAAUUUGCCCCCAAAUAACCCCAAAAUGGCCCCAAAUAACCCCAAAAUUGCCCGAAAUGGCCCCAAA
rnacentral:lncRNA from 1 species